rnacentral:misc_RNA from 1 species
UGUUACUGCCAUGGUUGGAGCUGGUGUCCUCAGCCUUCCAUAUGCAAUGUCAAAUCUUGGAUGGGGUCCUGGUACAGUAAUCCUGAUCCUAUCAUGGACCAUUACUUUAUACACCCUAUGGCAAAUGGUUGAGAUGCAUGAGAUGGUUCCUGGGAAACGAUUCGAUCGAUAUCAUGAGCUUGGUCAGCAUGCCUUUGGAGAAAAACUUGGUCUUUACAUAGUAGUGCCUCAACAAUUAAUUUGUGAAGUAGGUGUAGACAUAGUCUACAUGGUUACUGGAGGAAGAUCGCUGCAGAAGGUCCACGAUAUAGUCUGCAAAAACUGCAAACCAAUAAAAACAACCUACUUUAUAAUGAUUUUCGCCUCUGUUCAUUUUGUACUUGCUCACCUCCCCAAUUUCAACUCCAUCUCUGGGGUAUCUUUGGCUGCAGCAGUCAUGUCUCUGAGUUACUCUACCAUUGCAUGGGCAGCUUCCAUCCACAAGGGUCGUCAGCCAGAUGUGCAAUAUGGCUACAAAGCCACAACCACUCCAGGAACAGUAUUUGACUUCUUUACUGCAUUAGGUGAUGUAGCUUUUGCCUAUGCUGGGCAUAAUGUGGUGUUGGAGAUUCAAGCAACAAUCCCUUCUACCCCAGAGAAGCCAUCCAAAGGUCCAAUGUGGAAGGGAGUAGUCAUUGCCUACAUAGUUGUGGCUUUGUGCUACUUCCCAGUUGCUCUUAUAGGGUACUACAUGUUUGGCAAUAAAGUUGAAGACAAUAUUCUCAUCUCAUUAGAGAAACCAACAUGGCUUAUAGUCGCUGCUAAUAUGUUUGUCGUUGUCCAUGUUAUUGGAAGCUAUCAGUUAUAUGCAAUGCCUGUUUUCGACAUGAUAGAAACAUUGCUGGUAAAGAAGCUGCAUUUCAAGCCUAGUACUACUCUUCGAUUCAUCACUCGCAAUUUAUAUGUUGGUAAGAAAUUUAUAAUACAAGUAACUGUGAAUCAAGGGUUCUGUUUGUAUAACAAAGCUGAUGUCUAUUCUUGAUUUCAGCAUCCACAAUGUUUGUUGCCAUAUGCUUUCCUUUCUUUGGUGGCCUUCUGGGAUUCUUUGGAGGAUUUGCUUUUGCCCCAACAACUUACUUUGUAAGCCCAAUCUCCAGUUACUUUUUCUUAGCCUGUUUAGCAUAUUGCCUUUUCCAGCAAUGCUUCCGAGUGGAAACUUGAAUCUUUUUUGUCAUUUUUCAGCUCCCCUGCAUCAUUUGGCUUGCAAUCUACAAACCAAAGAGGUUUAGCCUUUCAUGGUUUACCAACUGGGUAAAUUACAUUCGUCUUAAACUAUGCUCUUUUCAUAUAUACAUACAAUUUAAUUAGCAUGAAAAACAAUUAUUUGAUUAUGUUUUUCUUCCUUGCAGAUCUGCAUUAUACUUGGCAUCUUCUUGAUGAUUUUAUCUCCUAUUGGGGGAUUAAGGAAUAUCAUACUUAAAGCCAAGGACUACGAGUUCUUCUCUUGAUCAAUUCUUGCACAUCAGACAGACUGAUAUCUAUGAAAUGGCCGUCAUAUAUCUGCACAAAAAAUAAUAAUAAUGAGUUGACGAUGAUUUCAAUUAUUGAAAAGACUAGAAAUUAUGUUCAGAUCUGAUUUAAGAACACAACUGCACUGCAGUUUCGUCUGCUGUAUUCUUUAUGUCGUGUGCCAAGUAUGUUUAGCUAUUCAACCCCUUCAAAUCUAUGAAUUUUAAUUAGUCUUCAGAGUGGAACGUUAAUCAGCAUUAAACAAAGUCAUUUUCUAGCCUCGUGGAAGGUCAUUAACCUCUUGUAUUGACAUUGGAGCCCAUGUUUGAUGGUUUCUGUCCAGGGUGGCUCUAGUGUUUGACCUUUGACGCUACGUACGCCCUUGAAAUGGACGGGGAUUCCAACUUUUGCAAGUUGAGAUGAGACUGUAAUUACUAAUGAUGUUCAUCCUGCCAAAGCUAAAAUAUUCAGUAAUGAUAAGAUAAAGCAGGAGAUCAAAAUUCAUAUCUACAUAGCAUAACAACUAUGAGAAAUUCCUGAUAUAAUGAAUCUCAAUGAAAACGUACAAAGAUCAAGAAAGUGAUCAAAAGUCCAACUACAUUAAUAUGUUUCUCCUCAAAUAGACUACCUUGAAAGCUUUUCUUUCACAUCAAGUAGCUUUUGGAGAAGAAACAAUGUAAACACUACUGGACUUGUCAAACUAGGACACUCCCAUCAUAUUGGAAAACAAUGAAAACUUGUUAAUGAAAUUAAUGUCUAAAGACUCUGAACUCCUACCAACAUUACCACCAGCAAUGCCUACUUGGAUAUUAACAGACACUUUGCUGCCUUGCAAGGACGGUGCAGCUGCCACACAUAAACUGGUAGGUACAGGAGGAAGACAUAUUCAAUGAGACAACUUAAAUGCUGGACCAGUUACUACAUGUUCAUCAAAUUACACCUUUCUGGUAGGCCACUUCUAACCAACCCUUUGACAACUUUGCAAUAUUUUAUAUAAUAUUGUCAUCUAUCAUAUCCUAGCGAUCAUAUUUUCUUUUCCACAGCUAGCUGAACAACACGACCUAAAGUAUAGACUGACAACAAAACGAUUCAUAGAAAAUAAAAGCAUUAAACUUUGUAAAGUUCAAUUUUUUACAUUUGAAACUUUGCAUGAAACUCGGGUAUGAGCAAAACAGAAUUGGUCACACACAUAAGCUCAACAUAAACAUAAUCAACUAAAAAGGAUCAAACAUGAACGCAUACAAAAAUCUCACAUAUAUCAAGUUGUUUAAGAAUCACCAAUCACAUAUAUACACAUAAACUACACACAGUUCAUAGAAGAGGAAAAAUCCCAUAACAUAAUUUCAUUAUAACCCAAAAUUACAUCAAGGAUACAAAAAGACAGAUGUUAAAAAUGGGUAUCCACAAUGAGCACCAAACCCACCAAGCUUCACUAGUGUUGCACAACAUUUCCAUGAAUUAGAAAAUUCUAUAACAAUAGAACAUAGAAUGAACAAAAGUUCACAUCCAAAACCCUUAUUAUCUCAAUUUCUUCUCAAAUUUGCCCUUCCUUUCUCUAUAAAAUUCAACCCAUAAAUUGGUAAUCCACAAAAUACUAACAGAUAUUGCCGUUAUCACAACGAACAUCCAAGAAACCCAAACCCACUUGGGUAUAACGCUAUCUGCAACCCCACUUAUAUAAAACACUCCCAUUCGAUACACAAAAUAUGGACCCAAAAAACCCCUCACCAAAGAGUAAAACGAAUAAAAAGGAGCAGACAGGAAAUUGUACACUUUGGCGGCGAAUUUGGCAUCCUUCCUUCGCGCACCGGCGAGCGUCCACACGUUCUGGCAAAAACUCGUCACUUCGGCGAGCAUCAGCAAGGAAAGUAUGGCGUACGCGCCGUGAGAGACAACAUAGCGGCAAGUAAGGAAGACGAAAAGAGUAGCCAAGUGGUGACCAAUAAAAAGAACAUCGCUAGGAAAAAAAAUGAGGUAAUGAAUCAGAUCCAUUAAAAAAUAAGCAAUGCUAUAGUCAAGAACAGCCGCCUGGAUUUCGGUGUUCGGCGACGAGAAACCCCGAUUUGGGUCGAUGAGUAUGGCGUAAGAGGCUAAAAAAACAGCCGGUGUACCAUGAAAGAGGGAGAUUAAGCAACUGGAGGCUUCGGGGCGGACAUUGGGGCUCCAAUUACGAAAGACUAGGAAUUGAGCUAAGAGAUAGAUGAAAAGGAAGAAGGAGAAGAAAAGAGGAAGAUCCGGAAGAGAUUGAAUUAGGGUUCCCAUUGGCGGGUGGAAACCUUUUUUUGUGAGAAUUGAAUUGGGAAGAACGAAGAAGCUGAAAGAGAAGGAGGGUAGGGUUUAUGCUUUUAUAGAGAGAAGAAAGGGAUAGUGGGUGGAGCUUGGAUUGACUGAAAUUUGAUCAGACAAUUUUGAAUUUGUUUCGUACUUGUCGAGGAAUUGUCGAAUUGAGAGCAGACCAGAGAUCGCAGAUGGCGAUAGGAAAUUAAACGACGCUGUUCCAAGGCACAACUGACACCUCUGUCACCGCAAAUGUGUCUCAUAUACGGAAUAUUUUGAUCUCAGUGUUACUAAACCCACCCGAGGUUGACCCG